rfam:Bursaphelenchus xylophilus, Ka4C1 (inbred line), WGS project CADV01000000 data, contig: scaffold01109.31
AGCUUUGCGCAGAGGCGAUAACGUGACCAAUGAGGCCUAGCCGAGGUGCGUUUAUUGCUGGUUGAAAACUUCUACCAAUUGCCCGCCGCGCUACCUGCUUCAAGCGGUAUGCGUAGGCAAUUUUUGGACGGCCAUAGGGCC